GUAGAGGUUUUUCUGGGCAGAGGCAAGAGAGUGAGGGUCUGUGUAUCUGAAGCAAAGCCAGCUCCAGCCUCUCUGCCACGCUGAGAUUAGGGGAGAAGAGGAGGCUUUCACAUAACCGACUCUCCCUGUGGCACGACCGCAGAGAGGCAGCGAGCGAAAGGCAGGCAAGCAGCCGGGCCGGCCGGCUGGAUGCAUGAGGGAGGCAGGGGAUUUAAAGAAAUAACAUGGGAACCGGUGCAGAGGAAGAAAGUGAACCUCUGUUUCUAUGGGAGCAGCCAGCCAGAGGAGCCUUGAAGUCGGAGAGAAGGAGGAAGUAAGGCCAGGUGUGCAGCGAGAACAUGAUGGGCCCCAAGGUUGGGCUGAGAGGCAAACACUGAAACUUGACAGUGUGGGCGCACACACCUGCAAACGAUUCUACCGGGAUUUGAACGGAAUAU